UCCCCGAAAUAGCUUUAGGGCUAGCCUCAAGGUGAGAGAUACGGAGGUAGAGCACUGAAUGUCCUAGGGGGUAUUGCACCUACCGAAGACUAUCAAACUCCGAAUGCCGUCAUCUUAUACUUGGGAGUCAGACUGUGGGUGAUAAGAUUCAUAGUCGAAAGGGCAACAGCCCAGAUCGUCAGCUAAGGUCCCUAAAUGUAAGUUAAGUGGUAAAGGAUGUGGGAUUGCACAGACAACCAGGAUGUUGGCUUAGAAGCAGCCACUCAUUCAAAGAGUGCGUAAUAGCUCACUGGUCGAGUGAUCCUGCGCCGAAGAUUUCCGGGGCUAAAACUUACUACCGAAGCUACGGCCUCAGUAAUGAUGGGUAGGGGCGCUUCCCAUACGGGUUGAAGCAUGACCGUAAGGACAUGUGGACAGUAUGGGAGUGAGAAUGUUGGCAUGAGUAGCGAGAUGUGGGUGAGAAUCCCACAGGCCGUAAACCCAAGGUUUCCAGGGGCAGGGUCGUCCGCCCUGGGCUAGGCGGGACCUAAGCGGAGGCCGACAGGCGUAAGGGGUGGCCAACAGGUUGAUAUUCCUGUACUACCGAUAACCGUUUGAGAGAAGGGAUGACACAGUAGGAU
rnacentral:rRNA from 1 species